GACGGGGACCCGCACAAGCGGUGGAUGAUGUGGAUUAAUUCGAUGCAACGCGAAAAACCUUACCUACCCUUGACAUGCCAGGAACUUUCCAGAGAUGGAUUGGUGCCCGAAAGGGAGCCUGGACACAGGUGCUGCAUGGCUGUCGUCAGCUCGUGUCGUGAGAUGUUGGGUUAAGUCCCGCAACGAGCGCAACCCUUGUCAUUAAUUGCCAUCAUUUAGUUGGGCACUUUAAUGAGACUGCCGGUGACAAACCGGAGGAAGGUGGGGAUGACGUCAAGUCCUCAUGGCCCUUAUGGGUAGGGCUUCACACGUCAUACAAUGGUCGGUACAGAGGGUUGCCAAGCCGCGAGGUGGAGCCAAUCCCAGAAAGCCGAUCGUAGUCCGGAUCGCAGUCUGCAACUCGACUGCGUGAAGUCGGAAUCGCUAGUAAUCGCGGAUCAGCAUGUCGCGGUGAAUACGUUCCCGGGUCUUGUACACACCGCCCGUCACACCAUGGGAGUGGGUUCUACCAGAAGUAGUUAGCCUAACCGUAAGGAGGGCGAUUACCACGGUAGGAUUCAUGACUGGGGUGAAGUCGUAACAAG
rnacentral:rRNA from 1 species